GAUGAAGAACGUAGUGAAAUGCGAUAAGUAAUGUGAAUUGCAGAAUUCAGUGAAUCAUCGAAUCUUUGAAUGCACAUUGCGCCCGGCAGUACUCUGCCGGGCAUGCCUGUUCGAGCGUCAUUUCAACCCUCAAGCCCUGCUUGGUGUUGGGGUCCCACGGCCGCCGUGGGCCCUGAAAGGAAGUGGCGGGCUCGCUACAACUCCGAGCGUAGUAAUUCAUUAUCUCGCUUAGGGCGUUGGGCGGCGCUCCUGCCGUUAAAGAACCAUCUUUAACUCAAGGUUGACCUCGGAUCAGGUAGGAAUACCCGCUGAACUUAAGCAUAUCAAUAAGCGGAGGA
rnacentral:misc_RNA from 1 species